GGGUGCAUGGCCUAAUGGUAAGGCGUCAGAUUUCGGUAUUCAGGUCUUUGAUCUGUGAAUGCAAUCUCUGAAGAUUGCAGGUUCGAUCCCUGCUGUGCUCG